rnacentral:lncRNA from 1 species
AUUGAACCCAGGGUGCUUAGCCACUGAGCCACAUCCCCAGACCUUUUUUAUAUUUUAUUUAGAGAUAGGGUCUGACUGAGUUGCUUAGGACCUCACUAAAUUGCUGAAGCUGGCUUUGAACUUUCGAUCCUCCUGCUUCGGCUUCCUAAACUUUGGGAUUACAGAUGUGUGCCACUGUGCCCAGCUCUAUCUUGGAUGUGUUUUCAAUUUGAGUGUGUGUGUGUUGGGGGGGUGGUUUCUGGGGAUGGAACCCAGAGUUUUGCUCAUGAUAGGUAAGUACUCUCCCACUGAAUUACAUUCCCAGCUCCUAUUUUAAUUCUUUUGGCCAGAUAUCAGGAUUGGAAUUCUUGGUUCAUUGGUAAUUCUGUUUUUAACCAUUUGAGGGAAUCUAGACCAUUUUAACCUUUCUAUCAGGAGUAUAUGAGGGUUCCAAUUUCUCUACAUUCUUGCCAAUAUUUAUUAUUACUUAAGUUUUUUUGUUUCGUUUUUGUGGUGCUGGGGAUCCAACCCAGGUCUCAAGCAUGUUAAGCACAUGCUAACAUGCUAAGUUCUAUCCCUAGUGAACUUUUUUGGGGGAUACUGGGGAUCUAAUGCAGAGGUGCUUUACCAGUGAGCUCCUUCCUUCCUCCCUGUCUCCCUCCCUCCCUCCUUCCUUCCUCUCCCUUCCCUUCAUUUUCUUUAUUUCUUCCUUCCUUCCCAGGGAUUGAACCCAGGAGUGCUUAACCACUCAGCCACAUCUCCAGCACUUUUUAUUUGGAGACAGGUUCUCAAUAGGUUGCUAAGGGCCUCACUAAAUUGCUGAGGCUGGCCUUGAACUUCUGCUCUUCCUGUUUCAGCAUCCCAAGAUGCU